ensembl:lncRNA
AUGCCAGCGACACCGCAAACUCUGCUCGCUAAUGCAUUCACAGCGGAGAAAACAGCGAUUUGUACCUUGAAAUGGUCUUGCCUUCAGCUCCGUGGCAUCAAUCCAUCCCUGAGGUAUCGCAGGGAUAAAAUCGAGCCUGGGAAGCAGGUCAGGUGGAAGCAGGUGUUCAAAACCCACUUCUGGGGGAUAACAGGAGAGAUGAAACACAUCUCAUGCCAUCCUCAGCAGUCCCUGAGGGGGAGAGAUGGCUAGCAGCCACCAGCACUCUUUCUGAACCAAGAUGAUGAUGGAUCAAGGUAAUUGGUGCUAAACUGCAGAAGGCACCUGGCUAGGAAAGGACAAGAGAAGGAUGGGGGUAACUGCUCUGCCUGGAGACAGGAGAUGGUGAAGAACACUGAGCAGUGGUAAGUCCUGAAAAGAAAAUCUGCCUCUGUCCUUCCCUCUCUGUUACAAAGAAACAGCAUGGGGCACAGCAGCUGCAGCAGCCAACAGCAGGAAAAGGAUGGGGAGUGCCUAAAAUACUUCUUGACUCUGACUGAAUCUUAGGACUGCAGAGUUCUGCCUUCCUCUGUGUCCCCCACCCCACAGCUAGGAGGAAAUUUGGAGCUGAGAAGGCCAGUGGUGGAGCCUGGCAUGAAAGACACCCCUGUCAGAACUGGGAUUUUGAGGCAGAAUGAUCACUGAUACUAACAGCACUUUUGAAAAAAAAAUACUAUUUUUGCUAGCUCUUUCCCCUCCUGUAUUUUUUUUUUCCUCAGCUGGAUCAAAGGAAUUUGUUUUGCUGGUUUCUCUUUUAUUUCAAGUCAUCUUUGUUUUUCUUUCUGUUUGUUAAUUUUCCCCAGAAUGGUCUUCAAAGUUGGGGUUGGAAAGGCUGCAGGGGAAUUUUGGUUGUCAGUUUGGUUUAUAUUUAAUAUCACUGUUGUAAUGCUAUCUGAAUGUUUUGCUAAAUGAAUUUUUGCUUGGUUUUGCUUUCACCUUGAUUUCUAUGAUGCUGCUUCAGACAAAUGGUAGCCCUCUCUCAUGGGAAAGAAAAAUCAGUUGAACAAAGCUCUUGGUUUGGAAAGAUGAAGGUAGAGCUGUGAUGGCUGUUCUGCAUCAGAAAAAGAACUGCCAAACCCCACCAUAAAUCUCCCACCUGAGGAGGGUAUCUCACACUGUGCCCAGAGCAUGUGUGCCCAAACACUACCAAGGAGACUUUGAACCACCAGGACUGGCUAAAAUCAAUGUAUAACAUUUUCCCUUAAAAGAUAGGAUCUCUGGAAACUCCAUCCCCUUCCCUCCCCAAAGGCACGUUUGCCCUGUGGAAAAUGAGCUUUUCCCCCAUGGAUUCUAGGUAAGGCUGCACAUUUUGUGUCACUGAUAGGGACACAAACGCUGGCUGGGUGUUUGUGGUGACAGGCAGUGGUGGGAGGAUUUGCUAUUUGCCUGAUAUGCUGUUCUCUGAUUUAAGUUUGUUAGCCCCCUCAGGCUCAGCUGUGGCUCCCUGCCAGUAUUUGAUCACAUUUUCAGAGCAGGAUUAAUUGUGCUUUAUUGCUCACCUAACAGAGCAGUGUCAUUUAGGUUGAAAAAGACCUUUGUGAUCAUCAAGCCCAACCAUUACCCAGCACUGCCAAGCCACAUCCCAAGUGCCACAUCUACAUGUCUUAAACACCUCCAGUGCUGGUGACACAACCACUUCCCUGGGCAGCCUGUUCCAGUGCUUGACAACCCUUUUGGUCCAGAAAUUUUUCCUAACAUCCAGUCUAAACCUCUCGUGGUACAACUUGAGGUCAGUUCCUCUUGUUAUAUCAUUUGUUACCUGGGAAAAGAGGCUGACACUCACCUUGCUACAUCUUCUUUUCUGCUAGUUGUGGAGAGUGAUAAAGUCCCCACUGAGUGUCCUUUUCUCCAGGAUGAACACACUCAGCCAUUCCUCAUAAGGCCCAUUCUUUGGAGGAGGGAGAAGAUGUGCCCUGUAAUUUAGUGACCAUUCAUUCUAAAUGAGAAGGUUAAUAGCUUGCCCACUUCAUAUUUUAACCCUAAGCUUUUUUCCCCUCUCUAAUUGUAAAGCAUAAUAGGUUUUAUUUCCAUAGGGCUGUUCCCUAUGGGGUUUUGUCUGGAUGUAUAAAUCAAAGCCUUCCUGACACAUUUUGGGGCUUGGGGGUAAAUUCUGCCCACACCCAGGGCAUGAAGUGGGGUCACCCAGCUGCCAGCAAAGUCACCCCAUUUUGCCUGCACUGCUGGGAAGAGGCAGGGGAAGGAUGGGCACUCAGAUAACUGGCAGGAUGGCUGGGUGCUGAGCACUUUGCAAAUGGGAUUUUUGACCUGGGUGAUUAACCUGGAGUGGCUGGGCUCUUGUGGUGCCACGAUCCAGCAGGAUCUCGGUAUCUUGGGGGCUGGGGCACACAGACAGAGCUGCUGGCACACAUUCCUCUCUUUCCAGCAGGAAAAUGAGGCUUAGACAUGAAGGUGAACCAGGAAGGGUAGGUGUGGGAAACCCAAACCCCGAGAGCUAUUAAGUGCAGAAGAAGGAAUAAAUCAGCUGGCCCUUCUCCUUGCCA